rnacentral:sRNA from 1 species
GAACUAUCAUGUAUUCUAUUACCUCCUGGCAGGAGCAAGUGAAGAUGAGAGAUCAGCAUUCCAUCUUAAGCAACCAGAGGAAUAUCAUUAUCUCAAUCAGAUAACAAAGAAACCCCUCAGACAGAGCUGGGAUGAUUAUUGCUAUGACUCUGAGCCGGAUUGCUUCACGGUGGAAGGGGAAGAUUUGAGACAUGACUUUGAGCGCCUACAACUUGCCAUGGAAAUGGUAGGAUUUCUUCCCAAGACACGAAGACAGAUUUUCUCUCUUCUCUCAGCCAUACUACAUUUGGGUAAUAUCUGUUACAAAAAGAAGACAUACCGGGAUGACUCCAUUGAUAUCUGUAAUCCUGAAGUUCUGCCUAUUGUCUCAGAAUUAUUAGAGGUUAAAGAAGAGAUGCUAUUUGAAGCAUUAGUUACAAGGAAGACGGUGACAGUGGGAGAAAAGCUUAUUCUGCCAUACAAGUUGGCAGAGGCUGUGACAGUGAGGAACUCCAUGGCUAAGUCUCUAUAUAGUGCCCUGUUUGACUGGAUAGUUUUUCGAAUUAAUCAUGCACUUCUGAAUAGUAAAGAUUUAGAGCAUAAUACCAAGACAUUGUCUAUUGGAGUUCUUGAUAUUUUUGGGUUUGAAGAUUAUGAAAAUAACAGCUUUGAACAGUUCUGUAUUAAUUUUGCUAAUGAACGUUUACAGCACUACUUUAAUCAGCAUAUCUUUAAAUUGGAACAAGAGGAAUAUAGAACUGAAGGUAUCAGCUGGCACAACAUAGAUUACAUUGAUAAUACCUGCUGCAUAAAUCUUAUUAGCAAAAAACCAACAGGACUGCUUCAUCUUUUGGAUGAAGAAAGCAACUUUCCACAGGCUACAAAUCAAACAUUGCUAGACAAGUUUAAGCAUCAACAUGAAGAUAAUUCUUACAUCGAAUUUCCAGCCGUGAUGGAGCCUGCUUUCAUUAUAAAACAUUAUGCUGGAAAAGUAAAAUAUGGGGUAAAGGAUUUCCGGGAAAAAAAUACAGAUCAUAUGCGCCCAGACAUUGUAGCUCUUCUGAGAAGCAGCAAGAAUGCAUUUAUUUCUGGGAUGAUUGGAAUUGAUCCUGUAGCUGUUUUCCGAUGGGCAAUUCUCCGAGCUUUUUUCAGAGCCAUGGUUGCUUUCAGGGAAGCUGGGAAAAGAAACAUUCACAGAAAAACUGGUAAGUAGUAGUUAUUAGUAUUCUACCAUACUUCAUCUUUUUUUUUUUUUUUUUUUUUUUUACCUUUCUACUUCUCCACAAAAAGGAGUAGAAUUCUUGCUACGAGAUUCUCAAGGACAAAAAUCCUGCUUCUGUAGUCAAUCUAGUGUCAUCUCUUAACUGAUUUGUGACUAUGAACAGUUUUUCUUUUCUGUAAAAGAGUUAUACUGCCUUUAAAAUAAUGAGGAUAAAGUCAGAGCAUCUGUUCAUGAAGUGUUCAUUUUCUUUUCCUUUACUCUUAGUUCGUGGAUUUUUAAAAACUUUGAAAUUUAGAAAUAGAUAAAGCAGGAUACUUUUUCUGUAUGCCUCCCCCUUCAAUCAUAAAAUCUCUCGUCUCAUGUUCUGUGGGAGGGCAACUUCAUAAGCACUUCUGGCCUACUGGAAACCAAACUGUUGUUUGCUGUAGCUCUAGUCUUAGAUAGGGCCAUUGCUGCAUAGAGAAGAUUUUGUGAUACAUAUGCAGUUGAGAUUUAUGCCUUUCAGUAGAAAUGUUAUAGGGCUCACCUGUGCUUUCAGGACUCCCAAAGUGAUUUACGUGGCUUUUUGGGAUGUGCACUAGUAGUAAAACUUUUAAGUUUAGCUUUUAAAUGUUUGAGACAAAUAGAUAUAUUUGAGAGAGUGUAUUUCUAAAAAUACAUGUAAAAUAAUUGAACCUAGUUUCCGUUUUUUAGAUUGUAAAGUAUUUGAACUGGUCUUUGUAGAUGUAUAGGGAGAAUUAUAGUUUAUUAGAGAAAUAAAAGGACUAUCUCAAACCUGCUUUGCCUUUUACAAAGUGAUUUCUAAGAGGUUAUCUUUGUAAAAAGCUUUAAGGAAAAUUUUUUUUCUUUAAGAUGCUUUCUUGUUUAUUAUGACAAACUUCUAAUCAAGAAAACCACUCAAAAUUGAUUAGCAUCCUGCUAAGACAUAAUUGAGUAAGAGAAGAAACUUUUCUUUUAUUUACUAUCAAAGCCUAUUUACUUUAUUCACAUUAUCUGUAUAUUCCUUUGGCAUUUAAAAUCUAUUAUUUGUGAAAGCUAGUUGUUACAUAUCUGUUAUUAUCAAUAUCGGCAAUGACAUGCAAUGUUAUUAAUGAUAAACAACCUGUAUUUUCUCUACCUUGAUAAAGUCUAGAUUCCUUAUUUUCUAAUCUUGUUUUCCCUUCUGGCUAGUACAGAGCUUCCAUAUAAUAAUCUCUUUUUGAAAAUUUGUAUUCAACAUAACAUGCAUGUAGAACAGUACACAAAGCAAAAAUAUAUAGUUCAGUGAAGUACCACAAAGUAAACACAACCCUGGAACUACCACCUAGGUUAAGAAACACAACAUUCCAGCCACCCAAAAUUUCUCCUUGGAAAAAACUUUAAAAUUUUUACUUUAUAUAAAGGAAAACAAAAA